AGUGAACGCUGGCGGCAUGCCUAACACAUGCAAGUCGAACGGCAACACAGUAAGCUUUUUCUCUUACCGUUGGCGGGUGACGGACGGGUGACGCGUGCAUCAGCUUCUUCUUUUUCUUGGGUAACUACGUAAAGAAACUUAUGCUACUACCUCAUACGUUCUACCGCUUAAAGCAAUAGUUCUUCACAGCUUUCGCGUUUCUAUUAGCCGGUGUCGCAUUAGCUAGUUGGCUUGGUAACGGCCCACCAAGGCGACGAUGCGUAGCUUAUCUGAGAGGAUGAUCGGCCACACUGGAACUGAGACACGGUCCAGACUCCUACGGGAGGCAGCAGUAGGGAAUAUUGGGCAAUGGGCGAAAGCCUGACGCAGCAACACCGCGUGAGUGAAGAAGGUCUUCGGGUCGUAAAGCCCUUUUGUCAGGAAAGAAAAAAAGCAGAAGAAACCACGGAUGUUUUGACGGUACCUAAAGAAAAAGCAACGGCUAACUUCGUG
rnacentral:rRNA from 1 species